GCCCCUGUAGCUCAGCGGAUAGAGCGUUGCCCUCCGGAGGCAGAGACCGGUGUUCAAUUCGCCGCAGGGGCG
rnacentral:tRNA from 1 species